AUUGAACGCUGGCGGCAGGCCUAACACAUGCAAGUCGAGCGGAUGAGGAGAGCUUGCUCUCUGAUUUAGCGGCGGACGGGUGAGUAAUGCCUAGGAAUCUGCCUGGUAGUGGGGGAUAACGUUCCGAAAGGAACGCUAAUACCGCAUACUUCCUACGGGAGAAAGCAGGGGACCUUCGGGCCUUGCGCUAUCAGAUGAGCCUAGGCCGGAUUAGCUAGUUGGGGAGGUAAUGGCUCACCAAGGGGACGAGCCGUAACUGGUCUGAGAGGAUGAUAAGUCACACUGGAACUGAGACACGGUCCAGACUCCUACGGGAGGCAGCAGUGGGGAAUAUUGGACAAUGGGCGAAAGCCUGAUCCAGCCAUGCCGCGUGUGUGAAGAAGGUCUUCGGAUUGUAAAGCACUUUAAGUUGGGAGGAAGGGUUGUAGAUUAAUACUCUGCAAUUUUGACGUUACCAACAGAAUAAGCACCGGCUAACUUCGUGCCAGCAGCCGCCGUAAAAC
rnacentral:rRNA from 1 species